UUAUAUUUUAAAGUCUAAUCUGCACAAUGAGUAUUAAAUUGCCGCAGUAUUUUGACUGUGCAAAGGUAGCAUAAUAAUUAGUUUCUUAAUUAGGAACUGGAAUGAAUGAUUGGACGAGAAAAUUUCUGUCUCUUAUUAAAGAAUUUUUGAAUUUUAUUUUUGAGUUAAAAAGCUUAAAUGUUUAUAAAAGACGAGAAGACCCUAUAGAGUUUUAUAUUUAUAUAAUAAUUUAAUGUUAGGAGAUUUUUUAUUAGUAAGUAUUUGAUUGGGGUGAUUUAAGGAUAUAAUAAAUUCCUUAAAGGUUUUAUUGAUGAUUAUUAAUUUAUAUUAUCUAAAUUUUUUAAAUUUAAAAUUAAUUACCUUAGGGAUAACAGCGUAAUUUUUCUUUAAAGUUCUUAUUAAAAGGAAAUUUUGCGACCUCGAUGUUGGAUUAAAAUAAAUUUUUGGUGCAAUAACUUAAGGAUUAGGUCUGUUCGACCUUUAAUAUUUUACAUGAUCUGAGUUUAAACCGGUGUAAGCCAGGUUGGAUUCUAUCUUUAAUUUUAUUCUAUAUUUUAUUAGUACGAAAGGACCAAAUAUGUGUUAUAUAUUAAUUG
rnacentral:rRNA from 1 species